UACUAGAGUAGCACUCGCAUAUCAAUAAGCGGAGGAAAAGAAACUAACAAGGAUUCCCCUAGUAACGGCGAGUGAAGCGGGAAGAGCUCAAAUUUGAAAUCUUCAAGGUUUUACCUUGACGAAUUGUAGUUUAAAGAAGUGUUUUCUGUUAGAGAGGUGGUAAAAGUUCUUUGGAAUAGGACAUCAUAGAGGGUGAGAAUCCCGUAUUUGAUCACUUUCUACUAACGUUGUGAUACACUUUCAAAGAGUCGGAUUGUUUGGGAAUGCAGUCCAAAAUGGGUGGUAAAUUUCAUCUAAAGCUAAAUAUUGGCGAGAGACCGAUAGCGAACAAGUACCGUGAGGGAAAGAUGAAAAGAACUUUGAAAAGAGAGUUAAACAGUACGUGAAAUUGUCAAAAGGGAAGCGUUUGACACCAGUGUUGUUUUUCCGAAAAUCAAUUACGAAUGUUUUAUUUUUGAGAAGUUAUGACUUCAUCGGCUUGCUUCUCUCUUAUCGAAACUUUCUUAAUGCACUUUUCGGUUAACAAGUCAACAUCAAUUUCUUUUGUUGUAAAAGGGUAUGAGGAAGGUGGCUUUCUUUUCGGAGAAAGUGUUUAUAGCCUUGUGCCUCUGCAAUCGGAGAGAUUGAGGUCUGCAGCGUAGAUCCUUCGGGGUUAGAUACGUUUGUGCUAAGUUAUAGCUUUUCAUAGACAACUUGUUGACUAUGUUUAGUCUUGUAGCUUACUCGCUUACGCUAUUUUACCUACGCUUAGGAUGUUGAAGAUGUAGCACAUCAU
rnacentral:rRNA from 1 species